rnacentral:rRNA from 1 species
UACGUAGGGUGCGAGCGUUAAUCGGAAUUAUUGGGCGUAAAGCGCGCGCAGGCGGUCCUUUAAGUCUGAUGUGAAAGCCCUCGGCUCAACCGAGGAGGGUCAUUGGAAACUGCAGGACUUGAGUGCAGAAGAGGAAAGUGGAAUUCCAAGUGUAGCGGUGAAAUGCGUAGAGAUGCGGAGGAACACCGAUGGCGAAGGCAGCCCCCUGGGCCAAUACUGACGCUCAGGCACGAAAGCGUGGGGAGCAAACAGG